UACGGGGGGGGCAAGCGUUGUUCGGAAUUACUGGGCGUAAAGGGCUCGUAGGCGGCCAACUAAGUCAGACGUGAAAUCCCUCGGCUUAACCGGGGAACUGCGUCUGAUACUGGAUGGCUUGAGUUUGGGAGAGGGAUGCGGAAUUCCAGGUGUAGCGGUGAAAUGCGUAGAUAUCUGGAGGAACACCGGUGGCGAAGGCGGCGCUCUGGGCCGGAACUGACGCUGAGGAGCGAAAGCGUGGGUAGCAAACAGG
rnacentral:rRNA from 1 species